rnacentral:tRNA from 1 species
GGGCCGUUAGCUCAGUUGGUUAGAGCAGAGGACUCAUAAUCCUUUGGUCGCUGGUUCGAGCCCAGCACGGCCUA